CGGCGGACGGGUGAGUAAUGCCUGGAAUCUGCCUGGUAGUGGGGGACGAACGUUUCGAAAGGAACGCUAAUACCGCAUACGUCCUACGGAGAAAGCAGGGACCUUCGGGCCUUGCGCUAUCAGAUGAGCCUAGGUCGGAUUAGCUAGUUGGUGAGGUAAUGGCUCACCAAGGCGACGAUCCGUAACUGGUCUGAGAGGAUGAUCAGUCACACUGGAACUGAGACACGGUCCAGACUCCUACGGGAGGCAGCAGGU
rnacentral:rRNA from 1 species